CCAAAUGCUGAGACGCUGAGGUCUGUAGCUGAGAAAAGGCUUAUUCAGGAGGCCCCCAAGUGAGAGAAGACGGGAGAACGAACCUCAAAUCUGGCUGCCUGAAGGUAUCUUGGUCCUGUGUGACUUGCCUCCCCCUAUACCAAGCUCACCUACCUUUUGAAACGUAAUUGAUUCCACUCCUGCUGGACAGCCUGGGAUCUGGCUCGCCCAGGGUGCUGCACUAAGCAGGAGCCCAGAGCUGUUGAUGUGCGGAGUGAGCUGGGUGGAGCUGCCCUCAUGUCUUUGUGAUUAUAACUGCACAAGGAGAACUUCACUGGGACUCAACU